UACGGAGGGUGCAAACGUUGCUCGGAAUCAUUGGGCGUAAAGCGAACGUAGGCGGCUUUGUAAGUCGGAUGUGAAAUCCCCAGGCUCAACUUGGGAACUCGCAUCCGAUACUGGAUGGCUUGAAUCCGGGAGAGGGAUGCAGAAUUCCAGGUGUAGCGGUGAAAUGCGUAGAUAUCUGGAGGAAUACCGGUGGCGAAGGCGGCAUCCUGGACCGGCAUUGACGCUGAUGAGCGAAAGCCAGGGGAGCAAACGGG
rnacentral:rRNA from 1 species